AACGGUAUGAAUUUAAUUUUGGUUCUGAUUGAACGUUUUUCAGUAGUUUUAAGACAUGCAAAUCGUUGUUCAUAAUAAUUUACAAUUUUAUUUAUAAAUUAAAAAAAAUUAAUAAAAUAAUCAAAUAAAAAGAACAAGGUGUAAAGGUGAGUAAUGGUAAAUUAGAUACCUAAUAGACUCCUUAAAUAGGGGAUAGUUUUACCUUUUUUUUUUAAUGGGUAAAGCAUAAUUUAGCUAAUUAUAAUAAAGGAAAUUUUCCGCUAUAAGAGUUGAUUUAUUUUGUUUAAUGGUAGUUGGUAGGGUAAAAGCCUACCAAGCCUACGAUCAAUAGCCACGUUUGAAAGAGCAAAUGGCCACAUUGGGAAUGAAAAGCCCCAAAUUGCAUAGCAAUCUGCAGUCAAGAAUAUUAGUCAAUGCUCGCAAGAGUGAACUAGCUAACUGAAAUCACAAAAUCAUUUAAUUGUAAUGGUAUUUGUGAUAACGUAAGGGAAAAAAAUGAUAUUACCUUACUAUGAGUGUUGUCCAAAUAACUGGUGCCAGAAGACUCGGUAACACCAGAAACGCAAACGUUAGUCGUCUUAAUAAGGCGUAAAGGGUGUGUAGGCUGCUUUGAAAGUUCAACAUUUAAAAUAGCUCUGUCUAUAUUAACAAUAUUUAGUUUAUUUUAUUUUUAUUAAUUUAAGAAAAAAUAAAUUUAUAUAUAUUUGUUAAAUACAGUAAAUAUUGGAUUAAUUAAAGCUAGAAUCUUAUAGAGGAUAAACCGAAUAAUGCUUAGAGAAGGGCUGAUAUUCUAAAAUACUAAGCGGAAUACUAAAGGUGAAAGCUUUUUAUCUACUAAAGAUUGACGCUGAGAAACGAAGGUGAGAAUAGGAAAUAGGAUUAGAUACCCAGGUACCUCUCACUGUCAACGAUGAAUGGUAGUUUGUUAGUUUAUUAGAAACUGGUAACGAUGUUAACGCGAUAACCAUUCCGCCUUGAGAGUACGGUUGCAAAACUGAAACCAAAAAAAUUAGUCGGUCUCGAAGCAAACGAAGUGAAGCAUGUUAUUUAAUACGAGAGUACGCGUAAAAUCUUACCAGUUCUUGUAUAUCCAAUAUUUUUUUGAGUAAAAUUUAUUUUAAUAUAUAGCAUCUAUUGCUUGCUUUGCUUUAAUAAAAUAAAUGCUAAGCUUUACUAGUAAUAAGUGCUAUGGCCUAUUCUUAUUUUAUUAAUAUUAGUAGCCUUAAUUUAAAUAACUCAAUAAAAUGAUUGAGUAAUUAUUAAUAUUAAAAAUAUUGGUAAUUCGUUUACAGGUGUUGCAUGGCUGUCGUCAGUCCGUGUUGUGAAAAGUUAGGUUAACUCCACUAACGGACGCAAUCCCUGUUGUUAAUUUAUACUUAACAAAUUUGUGAUUAUUAAAUAUUUUCAUUUGGGACUAAGACAAGUCGUUAUGGCCCUCAUGAACUGGGCUAUAGACGUGCCACAAAAACUUUUACAAAGUGACGCUAAAAAAUAAACUCGGUUACUAUAUUAAUUUUUUAAUUUUAUUUUAAUUUAAAUAUAAGAGUUUUAACAAAUAGCUAAUCAUUAAAGAAAGUUAAAUAAUUAAUUUUAUUAGACGAAUUGUCACCUGAAAUUCGGUGACAUGAAGAAGGAAUUUCGAGUAAUCGUUGAUCACAAGCGCAACGGUGAAGAUUGAAUUCGUGAUGAACUAACUGUCUGUCGCUGGGGAGAAGCUCGGAACGGGGGAAACUGCCACGAUGUUAAUACUUGAAUAAAGUUUAGUUUUGUUUUAUUUAAUUACUUAUUUUAUACUUUGAAAUAAAAAAUGAAUUAAUAAAUUUUAAAUUUUAACUCCUUUAUUAAGUUAAAUAGUAUCAGUUAACCCUUUUGAGUAACAUCUCAAAAGUCAUAGCAAGGUAGCUGUACUGGAAAGUGCUGCUGGAAAAUAAUUAAU
rnacentral:rRNA from 1 species